CCUGCGACCUUGAGGCUCCGGGCGUGGGAUUGGCAUAUAUAUUGCAGGGGCGUCAGGGCAGAGGCAGGCAGGCAGCAGUCGAGGACGAAACUAGCAAUAUGAGACUCUUGGUACUUUUGGCUUUUGUGUUGGGGUGCAACGCGAACCUGGUGGUGCUGCCGUUCCCGGUGGCGCAGCAGUACCGCUCGCAGGACCUGUUCGGACAGACCUCCUUCGGCCACUUCAGCUUCGACCAGAACCAGCAGCAGACCCGUCUCGCUGAUGGCACCGUCGUCGGAUAUUACUCCUACAUCGGCGCCGACGGCAAGCCCGCCGUCACCAUCUACGAGGCCGGCCGACAGGGCUUCCAAGUGAAGGGCUCCAACAUCCUGCCAGAGGGUCCCGCAGUCCCCGCCGCCCCCAGCUGAAAGCACCCGAGCCGGUAGAGGAAACAGCCGAAGUGCUCCAGGCGCGCGCUGAGUUCCAGCAGAAGUUCGACGAGGCGACCAGCACCCGCAGGCGCCGCGAGGUGCAGAUCCCCCUGCCGUACUUCCACCCGGUCCCCACCGUGGCCAAGCACAAGUUCGAGACCAAGCAGUUCGAGCCGGUCGACGCCAACACCCCCGCCGACACCAAGAAGAUCGAGCUCACCACCAAGGAGCACGAGAUCUCCGUGCCCGCCGUCAAGUACGUGCAGCCCGUGGUCAACGUCAAGCCCGUCACCUACACUGCUGCCUCCCCAGCGGUCCUGCCUUACACCUUCCCCUUCGCCUCCACCUUCCCCUUCCAGACCUCCUUCCCGCUGGUCCCUGUCAAGACUGCGGAAUAGACUUUCUUUCAUUCUUUCCGAAGUCCCUGAAACGUUCCGAUGACCCCAGCCAACGUUGUUUUUGCCUCACACUUUAUCGCGAUCGGCGCCUCGACACUUAAGGUCCAUAUGCACUCUGGACAUUAAGUGCAUGCUUGGCGGUCGUUGUAAAGCGUGUGCAUUCAUGACCAUUUAGCCAUCGCACUUCAUCGUGAACGCGUGCACUGGUGUGGAUGUGCGUAGAUGUUUUUUGCUGAUACGGAACUUAAACGGUUAAAAAAUAAGACUGAGGUAAAGGCUGAGUGACGCGCUGUCAAUUCGCAAAAGAAAACAAUAAAAAAAUACAUGAAAUUAUA